rnacentral:rRNA from 1 species
CCAGCAGCUGCGGUAAUUCCAGCUCCAAUAGCGUAUAUUUAAGUUGUUGCAGUUAAAAAGCUCGUAGUUGGAUUUCGGGUGGGUGACAGCGGUCCGGCUCUGCUGUGUACUGCUGUUGCCUAUCUUUCUGUCGGGGACGGGCUCUUGGACUUCACUGUCCGGGACUCGGAGUCGGCGAGGUUACUUUGAGUAAAUUAGAGUGUUCAAAGCAAGCGUUCGCUAUGAAUACAUUAGCAUGGAAUAACAUGAUAGGACUCUGGCUUAUCUUGUUGGUCUGUAAGACCGGAGUAAUGAUUAAGAGGGACAGUCGGGGGCAUUCGUAUUUCAUUGUCAGAGGUGAAAUUCUUGGAUUUAUGAAAGACGAACUUCUGCGAAAGCAUUUGCCAAGGAUGUUUUCAUUAAUCAAGAACGAAAGU